rnacentral:rRNA from 1 species
CCCUUAGAUGUUCUGGGCCACACGCGCGUUACACUGAUGAAGCCAGCGAGUAUAUCGCCUUCACCGGAAGGUGCGGGUAAUCUUGUGAAACUUCAUCGUGCUGGGGAUAGACCAUUGCAAUUAUUGGUCUUGAACGAGGAAUUCCUAGUAAGCAUGAGUCAUCAACUCGUGCUGAUUACGUCCCUGCCCUUUGUACACACCGCCUGUCGCACAAACCGAUUGAAUGAUUCGGUGAAAAUUUUGGACAUCGAGAGUGGUGAUUAAUUUCGCUGCUCUUAAAUGGAAAGAAUUUAAACCUAAUUAUUUAGAGGAUUGUGAAGUCAUAACA